rnacentral:rRNA from 1 species
AUUGAACGCUGGCGGCAUGCCUUACACAUGCAAGUCGAACGGCAGCACGGGUUCUUGCACCUGGUGGCGAGUGGCGAACGGGUGAGUAAUACAUCGGAACAUGUCCUGUAGUGGGGGAUAGCCCGGCGAAAGCCGGAUUAAUACCGCAUACGAUCUACGGAUGAAAGCGGGGGACCUUCGGGCCUCGCGCUAUAGGGUUGGCCGAUGGCUGAUUAGCUAGUUGGUGGGGUAAAGGCCUACCAAGGCGACGAUCAGUAGCUGGUCUGAGAGGACGACCAGCCACACUGGGACUGAGGCACGGCCCAGACUCCUACGGGAGGCAGCAGUGGGGAAUUUUGGACAAUGGGCGAAAGCCUGAUCCAGCAAUGCCGCGUGUGUGAAGAAGGCCUUCGGGUUGUAAAGCACUUUUGUCCGGAAAGAAAUCCUUGGCCCUAAUACGGUCGGGGGAUGACGGUACCGGAAGAAUAAGCACCGGCUAACUACGUG